GACAGAGGGUGCAAACGUUGUUCGGAAUUACUGGGCGUAAAGCGCGUGUAGGCGGCCAUGCAAGUCGGAUGUGAAAGCCCUCGGCUCAACCGGGGAAGUGCACUCGAAACUGCAAGGCUAGAGUCUCGGAGAGGAUCGUGGAAUUCUCGGUGUAGAGGUGAAAUUCGUAGAUAUCGAGAGGAACACCGGUGGCGAAGGCGGCGAUCUGGACACAUAUUGACGCUGAGGUGCGAAAGCGUGGGGAGCAAACAGG
rnacentral:rRNA from 1 species